AGAGAGUUAUAUAUUUUCAGUAAUGAAAUACACAUGAGCCUUUACAAAGGGAGAAAGUCCCUUUUAUAUACUAAGGGACCUUCCUCGAAAAAAUACAAAAAAGUAGAAGGGUUGGUGGCCUUGAUAUACGAGUGUCAGAGCUCGAUGUGACAUUACGGUUAGUCGCAUCACUUGGUCCGUUUAUUGACUGAGACCGGCCCUUCUUAAGUCGACCAUGCCAAGGCCACCUUAUUUAGUGAGGCCGUAUGUGGAUACUACGUGGACGUGGAUAACCAAAUUUGCCCAAUAUAGAUAGUCCCUCUGUUUAUUGGGGACGCAGUCGAAAGGCGUCUCCAAUGGACAAUGAAUAUUACAGGGACGUGGAAAACCAAAUUUGCCCGUUACACUUCUAUUCAUUUACUCAAGUCUCUCUCACUUACUAGUCCUUUAAUUAAUAACUUUAAACUAAUAAAGUUAGCGGAAGAAUAUUUUACAAGUUGCAUAUAUAUAGAGUGAAAGAAUGCAAACAAAAAGGGAAACUUCGGCAUGUGUGCUAAGAAAUUUCCAAGUUAUAGUUGAAACGAUUGGGAAGGUAUAUAAUAAGUGUAGAUAUUCUUAAUUAGUGGCGGAACUAGAAAUUUUACUAAGAGAUGUCAAAAUAUUAAAAAAUAAAUACACUGUAAGAAAAAUCGGAUGUGGUUCCGCCACUGUUCUUAUUGGUGUGAGAUUUUUGUAGAAAAAUCAUACAAGCUUGAACCAAAACGGAUAAUAUCACUCUAUGUUAAAAGUAUGUGGGCUGGUUCAGCCCAACAAAUGAUAUCAAAGCUAGGUUCAACAGGAUAAGUAUGAUGAUGCCAAAGUGAUGUGCGGGGCUCGAUUUGCUUACCCUUACGAGUUUGAAGGAGUGCACACAAGAAGAAGUUAGAUACGGACUUCGGUUGCCAUAAAUAUUCUAAUAAUAUGAGUAGUACACAUUGAAUCCUGAAAAUUGGCUUGUGAAACUUUGUUCGAGGAAGAAAACUAUGGAUCGUGGUAAUGGCCACGUAAAAUUUAAUUUGAGGGAAAAAUUCUCACCUUGAUAGCUUAGAAGAUUAGAAAGCAACAUAUAAGGUUUAUGAAUUUUU
rnacentral:lncRNA from 1 species